CCAGCUGGCCGGGCGGCCGCACUCGCAAGCGCCGAAAGGCCGCGAGUGAGGAAAGUCCGGGCUCCAUGGAAACACGGUGCCGGAUAAUGACCGGCGGGGGUGACCCCAGGGAUAGUGCCACAGAAAGCAAACCGCCGCGGAUUCCGCGGUAAGGGUGAAAGGGUGGGGUAAGAGCCCACCGCGCGACUGGCGACAGGAGCGGCACGGUAAACCCCACCGGGAGCAAAACCGAAUAGGGAUGACACGAGGGGCGACCCUCAGAGCUGUUUCUGGCUUGGUCAUCCGGGUAGGUUGCGUGAGGCGCAUGGCAACAUGCGUCCAAGAUGAAUGGCCGCCACGUUCUUGUGCCGCAAGGCGCAAGGGCCAUACAGAACCCGGCUUAUAGGCCGGCUGGCACA
rnacentral:RNase_P_RNA from 1 species